rnacentral:rRNA from 1 species
UAGGGAAUCUUCGGCAAUGGGGGGAACCCUGACCGAGCAACGCCGCGUGAGUGAAGAAGGUUUUCGGAUCGUAAAGCUCUGUUGUUAAGGAAGAACGAGUGUGAGAAUGGAAAGUUCAUACUGUGACGGUACUUAACCAGAAAGGGACGACUAACUACGUGCCAGCAGCCGCGGUAAUACGUAGGUCCCGAGCGUUGUCCGGAUUUAUUGGGCGUAAAGCGAGCGCAGGUGGUUAGAUAAGUCUGAAGUUAAAGGCAGUGGCUCAACCAUUGUAGGCUUUGGAAACUGUUUAACUUGAGUGCAGAAGGGGAGAGUGGAAUUCCAUGUGUAGCGGUGAAAUGCGUAGAUAUAUGGAGGAACACCGGUGGCGAAAGCGGCUCUCUGGUCUGUAACUGACGCCGAGGCUCGAAAGCGUGGGGAGCGAACAGGAUUAGAUACCCUGGUAGUCCACGCCGUAACGAUGAGUGCUAGGUGUUAGGUCCUUUCCGGGACUUAGUGCCGCAGCUAACGCAUUAAGCACUCCGCCUGGGGAGUACGACCGCAAGGUUG